GCUUGCUUGCUGUCCUGAGGCAGACAUUCAGGAGCAUCUCAGCUUAUUUUUGCUAUGGUACUAUAUGAUAGCACCAUUGUGUUGUUCAGAGCAUCAAAAAAAAAAUUGGUCUUAACACUGGCAAAAUUGUAAAAUAACCAUAUUUUGUGUAUUUGUUGUAGCAUGCGUGACUCUUCUCAAGCUUUGGCUUUGUGUCUCUAUUGGGUUGGAGGUUUUUUUAACUAUGACCCUAAAUCUCACUGUCCUUACCCCUUCAAUAAAAUAAUCCUACUUAAUGUGGAGAAGGACACUCAGCAAAUGGUCCUAGAGCUUUAAGAUUUCUCUUCAAGGGCGUUAUCAGUGGUCUCUUGGCAAAAGAGCUCAUGGCUUUCCUUCUGUCUGAUGGUGCCCAAGUGACUGUAGUUUAAGCAAAUAGCUUAGCAAAUGUAUUUCUAGGCAAUCAUCUUCUAUGCCAAUCUCUGUGCACCAAUGUCAGGGAAACACAGUAAGUGCUUUACUGCUCAACGGAUCCAAUAUAUCCUCCUCUGUCCUCCAAAGCCUGCAGUUUGUAGUAAAUGGCCAGUGCUAUCAAGUCAGUACCUGCUUUUUCCCCCCCUAUGCAUUGUCAAGAUCUUCACAAGGAAGCUUGGAGGAUGAUAGUCCAGCCUUGGAAAAAAAGCACAUUUGUACAUACCAGGGAGCCCAGCAUCACCCACUUCCGUUAAGUAGGGAAAGCGUUUCCAUGACUUACAACAGUCAGACAGUGAAUACUGUCGCUCACUUUAGCAGCUAUCUUGUCUUUGGGUCACAAAAAGAAGAAAGGCCAAGAUCAUGCUUGGUUCUCUGACAGUGUUCUGCUCAAUUCACAAAGCUCUUCAGCUGGUUCACCUGUGAGCUUGGUUUCCACCACAUUCCAUGGGCACAGGCAAAACUCAUAGCACAAGCACAAUGGUUCAGCCAACAGCCACUGUCUCCUGGGGCCAUCUGUGUUGAACUUGCAGGUUUUCCUCACUGUUUAAAGAGUUAGCCGGCCAUCAGGCAGCUUGCCAGCCGAGCUUCGUCAUAGCUACCCUGCAUCUGUGGCAGAUGGCCAGAUCCACAGAACGUGUGGUAGCUGCCAGCACCUUUCCCAUGGUGCUGGUGGACUCUAGCACACUGCUCUUUCUGGCACUGACUCACACUGGAUGCUUCAAGAUCAAGGACUAAACAGAAGUCAUCCCCUUUGGGAGCCACAGAGGUGACUGUCUUCUGAGCAGGUUGCUGUGAUCUUUCCCCUUCCUGUCUCAGGAGCAAUCCCCUGCCAAACAGCAGAGACUAUGUUGGGAAGAGCAAGAAUGAGAAGGCACUGGAUGUUCUCACAAUGAAGCCAACCCUCCUCUUCUUCCCAGUACCUUCCAUGCACUGCUGUUGUCAUUGCCUGCUACCAUUUGCCUGACUGAGAAGCUCAUGUGUCCAGGUUUUAAUCUUUGUAUAGAACACGCUCCGUGACCCCGACAGAGGAAAAGCAGCAAAGUCCUACAUCUAUGGAUGUGUUUAGAAGCGCCAAAUGAUCAAAGUUAACGCUGCGCAGCAGCGACUGAGUUACCCCCAUUAUCUCACGUCCCCGGCUUUGACAGACCGCAUCACUCAGUGCGUGGACGUAUCGCUAUUUGAUACACCAUGAAUAUUCAGGGCGCAUAUUCAAUUAACCAGCUCCGUGACUAGGCCUCGCGUCUCCUUCUGCUUUGUGUUUGCAUCCCGCUCCCUCUGUGGGUUUCACAUUACCGCAACAUUUACAGUCAACUCAGCUUGGAAAAUAAGCGUACGGGGAAACAUGGAUGCCUACUACACGUCUAUUGCUCGAUGCAAGAGAGGCUGUGAUCCUGUUAGCAGGCUCCUCUCCCCAAGCUCGUUUUAAUUAGCAUUUCAAGGGAGGUUUGGUACAGCAAAAUGGUGAAGUUUGAAGCUC